AUGGAAAUAUAAUUAAAUAAAACCCCAUGUCAGGUAAAUGGACAUAAUGGACCUCCUCAUAUUCACAUCAGAGUAAUUUUGUGAUAGGUGGUAUUCUUCAUUCAAACCACAGCUGAAAUUGCAUUAUAGGAAGACAGCAUCUUCAACAUAGUGGCGAACACACUUUAUUGUUGAAAUAUACACAUUUUCAGUGCCACCUAUUGGUAGAACAAAGAGAUUUACAUGCAAUUCUUGCUUUUACAUAUUUGUAGUAAUGGGUAAUGUAUGAGUAGUGAACAAAAUGUACCUUAAAAGUGUGAACUAUUUUGGAAUGGUUUGAUAAAUUGAUAUUUGGUUUGUCAACUGGAUUAUACAUAUGAGAAACUGCUGGCAAUUUAAGUAGUUGAAUGAAUAUAGUAAACAUUUUGUGCAUACAUUAUUAUAAAAAUGUUUGCAUGGAGAAAGUCUUACAUAAAAUUUGAGGUAAGUUUGAUAGACUGGUCUUAAUUUUCUUGGGAUAAAGUAUAACUACUGCUUGAUUUAAUAACCAUGCAUUUUUUGGACAAAUAAAAUAUUGUACUUCUUUGUGA